rnacentral:rRNA from 1 species
AUUGAACGCUGGCGGCAUGCUUUACACAUGCAAGUCGAACGGUAACAGGCCUUCGGGUGCUGACGAGUGGCGAACGGGUGAGUAAUGCGUCGGAACGUACCCAGAGGUGGGGGAUAACGCAGCGAAAGCUGUGCUAAUACCGCAUGUGAUCUGAGGAUGAAGGCGGGGGACCGAGCAGCAAUGUUUGGCCUCGCGCCUUUGGAGCGGCCGAUGUCGGAUUAGCUAGUUGGUGGGGUAAAGGCCUACCAAGGCGACGAUCCGUAGCUGGUCUGAGAGGACGACCAGCCACACUGGGACUGAGACACGGCCCAGACUCCUACGGGAGGCAGCAGUGGGGAAUUUUGGACAAUGGGCGCAAGCCUGAUCCAGCAAUGCCGCGUGCGGGAAGAAGGCCUUCGGGUUGUAAACCGCUUUUGGCAGGAACGAAACGGUGUCCGCUAAUACCGGGCGCUAAUGACGGUACCUGCAGAAUAAGCACCGGCUAACUACGUG